GGCCGAGUAGGUGGCAGGCUGUAGACUUGUUUACGGGGACCAACCCCCCCCAG
rnacentral:tRNA from 1 species